GAUGAACGCUGGCGGCGUGCCUAACACAUGCAAGUCGAACGAUGAAACCGCCCUCGGGCGGACAUGAAGUGGCGAACGGGUGAGUAACACGUGACCGACCUGCCCCCCGCCCAGGGACAGCCCCCCGAAAGGGGGAUUAAUACCUGGUACUCCGGGAGCGGCGCAUGCCGCCCCCGGGAAAGCUCUGGCGGCGGGGGAUGGGGUCGCGGCCCAUCAGGUAGACGGCGGGGCAGAGGCCCACCGUGCCGACGACGGGUAGCCAGGUUGAGAGACCGACCGGCCACAUUGGGACUGAGAUACGGCCCAGACUCCUACGGGAGGCAGCAGUGGGGAAUUUUGCGCAAUGGGGGCAACCCUGACGCAGCAACGCCGCGUGCGGGACGAAGGCGUCCGCGUCGUAAACCGCUUUCAGCGGGGAACACUUUUCGAGGGUACCCGCAGAAGAAGCCCCGGCUAAAUACGUGCCAGCAGCCGCAGUAACAC
rnacentral:rRNA from 1 species